rnacentral:misc_RNA from 1 species
UUUGGGAUAAGGAAUUUGUGCUAAAUAUUUAACUUUUGGGGUGGAAUUAGGUUUGGUUCAUUUUCUCUACAUGGUAUUAGGCCUACCUUGCUUCAAUAUUGGGCCAACUAUAUAUAUGUUUACUUGCAAACUUCAUGCCUCAGAUAUUCAUGCUUAGGCUUUAGGGACGUGUGUUUGUCUCACAUUGGUUUGGGAUAAGGACUUUGUGGGGCAAACCUCCUCUCGUUGAGCUAACUUUUAAGGUAGAGUUAAGCCUGAUCUAUUUUCUCGACAUGGUAUCUGAGUCUACUUUGUUCAAUGUUGGGCCACCCACAGAUGUGAUUGCCUGCAAACUUCACUCUCCAAAUGUUCAUGCUUGGGCGUGAGGAGGGUGUAUUGUCCCACAUUGAUAUGGGAUAAAGACUUUAUGCUAAAUAUAAGAUUUGAACAAACCUUCUCUCUUGAGCUAGUUUUUGGGGUGGAGUUAGACCCGGUCUAUUUUUUUAACAAUCUACAUGUUAUUGGCUAUUUUCAUAUCAAAAUAUUAUUUUUAGAAAAAAUAAUUUUUAUUUAAUUAAUUUUUGGAUGAUCGAUUUUCAUAUUGAUUUGAUUAAUUCAAAUGGGCUAGCUUUACAUUAUGUCAUAUAUAUGAUCAUCAUAUUAACUUUCCGUUUAACAUUAAUUUUAUAUAUCAUUUUAAUUGGAAUAAUUCUAAAUUGUACAUUGAUUGAAAUGCGUUAUAAAUUUACAACAAAUUGAUUAACAGAGUCAAAACUUAAAACAACCUACUAAUUAUAUAUUCAAACUUGUGUAGAGAAAAUUUCUCUCCCUUUUCUUUUUCCUUCAAACCAUUUAUUGACUUUAAUUUUAAAGAAAGGAUCAAUCAUAAAAAAGGUUAAAUAUUUUUGUAAAAUUAUAAUGUAAUCUAGUUGUUUUAAUUUUGGCAAUUUAAUUCAAAUUAAUUACACUUUUAUCUAAUUAAAUCAGAAUUGGACUUUCAUUUUAUUUGGUUGAUUAAAAUUAGGCUUAUAAUUAUCAACCUUUCAUUCUCUAUCUCCCACGGGAUAGGCGAUAGACGGGAAGAUAGCAAUUGAAUCAGUUGAAGUGAGUUAAUUAGUAUGCCUCUACUGCUGAGUUGUUGAAGUGCAGCUCUUAAAGAGAAAUCAUAUUUUUCUAUUCCAUAAUCCCCUUGUUUGGAAUGAAAAAAUUUAAGUCUUUUUAAAUUAAAACAUUUUUUAUUCUAAAAGAAAACAUUUUUUAUUUUAAAAGAAAUAAAAUUCAUAUGCAUGAUUGUGUGAGAAUUCUUUAGAAUUAUUUUCUUGUAAAUGAUUCAUUCCAAAUGAACCCAAUAUGUACAUGCAUUUUUACUUUCUUUAAUCUUUAUAAUUAUUUAGGUAUGCCUGGAUUGACUGCUUAUGCUGGCUUUUAUGAGGUUUGUGCUCCAAAGAAAGGAGAAUAUGUUUUCAUUUCAGCAGCAUCAGGUGCAGUUGGUCAGCUUGUUGGCCAAUUCGCGAAGUUGUUGGGUUGUUAUGUUGUUGGAAGUGCUGGAAGUAAAGAAAAGGUUAGCCAGUAAAAUUGUUAUGCUCUGUUUCUUUGAUUAAUGUCUCAUUUCUGUUCUGAUGGAUCUUUCUAGUAAGUCAACAACUAUUAUCCUAAUCAGUCAUUCAAGCACUUCUAUGCACUUGAUCUUAGGCCUCGCCACAGGCCUGUUUCAGUUUGAAAUUGGCCUGAAAUUUGCGGUUUCAAUUCACUGGAAUAUGAAUCUGAAUCGGUCCCUAAGGUCCUCUCACGCUUUCAAUGUUUUGAUUCUGUUUUCGGUUCAAUCUGAUUUGAUCCAAUUUUGAUCAAAUAAAAUGGCCUAUUUUUUUUUCAAUUUUUUUUUAAAUGCUAAAAGGUUCAAUUUUUGAUCCGGAAUCAAACUCGCCAAUUCUGAUUCGGUUUAGUCACAGUUUAAAUCGAUCACGGUUUUGACCAGUUUCAGUCUCUGAUUCUAGUUCUGACCCAGCCCUUGGCUGCGUCUACUUGUCAUAACAUUUUACAUUUUCUGGCAUUCAUGCCUUCAUAAUAAACAUCUUGUAACUGGGAUGUUAAAUCAUAGUAUAAUGCAAAACCAUCAUCUCCCGAAUUCGAAUUUCAUCCUCCAAGGUCUAUAGUGCUCAUAGACUCUAAUAUUUUGCCACCAUGCUCUGACAUGAUACAUGAUAAAAUGGUGUAAUAUUCUGGCAACAGGUUGAACUAUUGAAGAACAAAUUUGGUUUUGAUGAAGCUUUCAAUUAUAAAGACGAGCAUGACUGGAAUGCAGCUUUAAAAAGGUAUUUCCCUGAAGGCAUUGACAUUUACUAUGAAAAUGUUGGGGGCAAAAUGCUUGACGCAGUGCUUCUAAACAUGAGAGCCCAUGGCCGCAUUGCAGCAUGUGGAAUGAUCUCUCAAUACAAUCUGCAGCAGCCUGAAGGCGUUUACAAUUUGACUAGCAUUAUUUAUAAGCGGGUGCGGAUACAGGGAUUUGUGGCUUUUGAUUACUUCAGCCAGUAUUCCAAGUUCUUAGACUUUGUUGUGCCUUACAUUAGAGAAGGGAAGAUUACUUAUGUGGAAGACAUUGCUGAAGGAAUUGAGAGUGCUCCUGCUGCUCUGGUAGGCAUUUUCAGUGGUCGCAAUGUUGGGAAACAAGUAGUGGCAAUUGCUCACGAGUGAUCUAGCUUUCUUUUCAGUGUUCAGUCUUGUUAUGUUUUAUACAGUUUUGUGCUCACUUGAUUACCUCUACUUGAUAAUAACGCAUGUCAUUAGGACAUUGGUCCUAUUAUAGCAUUGCAG